UUAUAAAAACAACAGUCGUUAACUUUGAAAACGCAGAAAACUCAUCAACCUUUUAACCAUUUACCGAGACCACCGAAUGUUUUUGAGAUUGGCGAGUCUUACACUAGCGAUGAUAUUGGCGAGUCUUACGCUAGCGCUGAGAUUGGCGAGUUUUACGCUAGCGCUGAGGUUUGACAAAGCUAUGGAUGUCAGGGGGCGUAAAAUAUGAAAAGUUUGGAAAAAUUUCCAUCUACAUGCAAUGUUGACAUUUAUAGCCUCUUCGAUUGUUGAAUGUAUUUGGAGCAAAACCUAUGACGGCAAAACCCACGCGGUGGUGCAAGGAGAUGAAGAACAACUAUAAUUCGGUUUCGUGAUCAGAAAUAUUAUUUUGCAUGGUUACUACGUGUGUUGCUACGAGUGGCAGCCCACACUCAAGCUGAAAUGAUACUUAUUUUGCAUUUCAUGGUUUCUAUGGUUGAAUGCAUAUUUUAAAUUUAUUACUUGUUGAAGUAUGAAAAUUGUUGUAACAUUACGGCAGCCAAAAAAUUAGGCCAAAGUAAAAAGCAAUGAGUUGAAGAUGUUAAUUUUGUAUUUUAUACACGUGAAUUAUUAUUACAUGACGCUUUUUCAUAGAAAAAGUGACACUAA